rnacentral:rRNA from 1 species
GACGAACGCUGGCGGCGUGCCUAAUACAUGCAAGUAGAACGCUGAAGGAAGGAGCUUGCUCUUUCCGGAUGAGUUGCGAACGGGUGAGUAACGCGUAGGUAACCUGCCUGGUAGCGGGGGAUAACUAUUGGAAACGAUAGCUAAUACCGCAUAACAGUAGAUAUCGCAUGAUAGCUGCUUGAAAGGUGCAAAUGCACCACUACCAGAUGGACCUGCGUUGUAUUAGCUAGUUGGUGAGGUAACGGCUCACCAAGGCAACGAUACAUAGCCGACCUGAGAGGGUGAUCGGCCACACUGGGACUGAGACACGGCCCAGACUCCUACGGGAGGCAGCAGUAGGGAAUCUUCGGCAAUGGACGGAAGUCUGACCGAGCAACGCCGCGUGAGUGAAGAAGGUUUUCGGAUCGUAAAGCUCUGUUGUAAGAGAAGAACGAGUGUGAGAGUGGAAAGUUCACACUGUGACGGUAUCUUACCAGAAAGGGACGGCUAACUACGUGCCAGCCGCCGCCGUAA